rnacentral:rRNA from 1 species
UGGGGUGACUGCGUACCUUUUGUAUAAUGGGUCAGCGACUUAUAUUCUGUAGCAAGGUUAACCGUAUAGGGGAGCCGUAGGGAAACCGAGUCUUAACUGGGCGAAUGAGUUGCAGGGUAUAGACCCGAAACCCGGUGAUCUAUCCAUGGGCAGGUUGAAGGUUGGGUAACACUAACUGGAGGACCGAACCGACUAAUGUUGAAAAAUUAGCGGAUGACUUGUGGAUGGGGGUGAAAGGCCAAUCAAACCGGGAGAUAGCUGGUUCUCCCCGAAAGCUAUUUAGGUAGCGCCUCGUGAACUCAUCUUCGGGGGUAGAGCACUGUUUCGACUAGGGGGUCAUCCCGACUUACCAACUCGAUGCAAACUGCGAAUACCGAAGAAUGUUAUCACGGGAGACACACGGCGGGUGCUAACGUCCGUCGUGAAGAGGGAAACAACCCAGACCGCCAGCUAAGGUCCCAAAGUCAUGGUUAAGUGGGAAACGAAGUGGGAAGGCUCAGACAGCCAGGAUGUUGGCUUAGAAGCAGCCAUCAUUUAAAGAAAGCGUAAUAGCUCACUGGUCGAGUCGGCCCGCGCGGAAGAUGUAACGGGGCUAAACCAUGCACCGAAGCUGCGGCAGCGA